rnacentral:lncRNA from 1 species
UUCAACUAACACAAUCGUGACAAAAAUAAAGUACAAACUUAAUAACUAACAGACUCAAGUAAAAAGGAACUACAGACUCAAAUGACAAUCAAGAAUACAUUAAAGCUCCUAGUGUUCGCGGGAUAUCAUUCGGUCUCACCAUAGGCCUGUAUGCAAGUUCCCUUUGAAGUCUAUCUAAGUCACUCAUUAUCUGCUUCAAAAAUAUAUUACCGAUGCAAAGAAGGUGGUGCGAGUUAUGUCUUCUUACACCCAGCAUUUCCCAGUAAUGUAGUGAGCAACGGUUAAGAUUAUCUCUCUGAUCAUGCCUUUUUCUUGAAGUAAUUUCCUUAUUUGUUGGACCCAAGCUUCCAAAGUCUGCUCAGCUACCUGGUUUUAUCCCUGGAGUAGUUGCAAGUCCAUUUCUAAUUGUUCCAAUAUCGUGUAGCCACGCUCUCUAACAAUAUUAAAUUCUUUUACCUGUUUGGUCGUUUUUUUUUCUAUGGCGAUGACCCUUUUCUUUAACCCCGUCACCUCAUUAUCAUGCUCUUCUUUCAACUGCUUAACCAUGCGGGCCCGUUCUUCUACAUUUUUAGCCAUUUUUUUUGCGAACCCCGACUAAUUCCUUCUCUGCUUUGUUUAGGUCAAAAUUUCAUUCAUUCAUUUUCUACCUUAGAUUUUCUAUAAGUUUUGUAUCCGUGGCACUCCUAAUGGGGUUUUCGGCUGCUACCUUCAUCUUUUGAAUCUCGGCUCAUAAGGCUUCAUUCUCUUUGGCCAAUUUCGUCUUCUCACCCUCAUCGGCAAC